rnacentral:rRNA from 1 species
CUGCUGCCUCCCGUAGGAGUCUGGGCCGUGUCUCAGUCCCAAUGUGGCCGGUCACCCUCUCAGGUCGGCUACUGAUCGUCGGCUUGGUAGGCCGUUACCCCACCAACUACCUAAUCAGACGCGGGCCCAUCUUACACCACCGGAGUUUUUACCACCAAACCAUGCGGUUUUGUGGUCUUAUGCGGUAUUAGCAGUCAUUUCUAACUGUUAUCCCCCUGUGUAAGGCAGGUUGCCCACGCGUUACUCACCCGUCCGCCGCUCAGUCACAAAG